AGUGGCGCACGGGUGAGUAACGCGUGGGAACCUACCUAUCGGUACGGAAUAACACAGGGAAACUUGUGCUAAUACCGUAUGAGCUCUACGGAGGAAAGAUUUAUCGCCGAUAGAUGGGCCCGCGUCCGAUUAGCUAGUUGGUGAGGUAACGGCUCACCAAGGCUUCGAUCGGUAGCUGGUCUGAGAGGAUGAUCAGCCACACUGGGACUGAGACACGGCCCAGACUCCUACGGGAGGCAGCAGUGGGGAAUAUUGGACAAUGGGCGCAAGCCUGAUCCAGCCAUGCCGCGUGAGUGAUGAAGGCCUUAGGGUUGUAAAGCUCCUUCGUCGGGGAAGAUAAUGACGGUACCCGAAGAAGAAGCCUCGGCUAACUCCGUGCCAGCAGCCGCGGUAAUACG
rnacentral:rRNA from 1 species